rnacentral:rRNA from 1 species
UACGGAGGGUGCGAGCGUUGUCCGGAAUCACUGGGCGUAAAGGGCGCGUAGGCGGCCUGAUAAGUAGGAGGUGAAAUCCUGCGGCUUAACCGCAGGGCUGCCUUCUAAACUGUCAGGCUAGAGCACAGUAGAGGCAGGUGGAAUUCCCGGUGUAGCGGUGGAAUGCGUAGAGAUCGGGAAGAACAUCAGUGGCGAAGGCGGCCUGCUGGGCUGUUGCUGACGCUGAGGCGCGACAGCGUGGGGAGCAAACAGG